CACGUAAGUUGCGAGCGUUGUUCGGAAUUAUUGGGCGUAAAGGGCAUGUAGGCGGUUUUGAAAGCUUGAUGUGAAAUCCCACAGCUUAACUGUGGAACUGCAUUGAGAACUACAAGACUAGAGUUACUGAAGGGAAACUAGAAUUCCAAGUGUAGGGGUGAAAUCUGUAGAUAUUUGGAAGAAUACCAAUGGCGAAGGCAAGUUUCUGGCAGAUAACUGACGCUGAGGUGCGAAGGUGCGGGGAGCAAACAGGAUUAGAUACCCUGGUAGUCCGCACAGUAAACGAUGUACACUAGGUGUUUGACCAUGAGGUUGGGUGCCAAAGCUAACGUGAUAAGUGUACCGCCUGGGAAGUAUGCCCGCAAGGGUGAA
rnacentral:rRNA from 1 species